rnacentral:lncRNA from 1 species
GAGCAAAUUAGAAUCCAAGGAAGUUGACAUGUCAUCACUUCAUUUUUUGUGCCUGCGCAUAAAUCUGAGAAACGUGAGUUUGUCAUCAUUUUUAUCUAGACAUAGGAUAGGUUGUGUGAAAAUAUUACUGAUGUUUAACGUUAAAAAUGGACCAAAAGAUUAAUGCUAAACAACAUUUGACAUGUUUGAACGAACAUAAAUAGAUUAUUUACUAGGUUUUUUAGCUUUUCGGCGUGAUUUUACCAGCCCCCAACCACGUUUUGUGGGAGCAUAAUGAACGCUAAGUACUUGGUGUUAUUUGGACAUAAAUUAUGAACUUUGUCAAAAGAAACCACAUUUGUUCCGGACCUGGAAUGCCUUCCGGACCUGGGAUCCUGCCUUCUGAUGGAGAUAAUCAAAGGAUUACACCAGCUGUGACACAGGAAGGCGAGGAAACCCCAGGGUACCAUGGAAACCUCAAGGGAGAGUAAACGAGAGAGUCCCUAUAAAGUAGGCCAGCAGUGGGUCAAACUUUCAGCCUAUAACAAUAUUGAUGAUGAUUGUGGUGAUUAUAGUCAUGUAUAGAAGAAGUGAAUAAUAUGUCACAG